GGGACAUGUGGGUUCUAAUCUUUUUCAUUGCUUAUAAGAAUUCUUAAAAAAGAAUUUCGAUCUUAGUUUUAUUUUGUUUUUUUAUUCAUUUUAUAAUGACAUACAUUGUUAACAUUUUGAAAUUCUACAUUCAUGGUAAGUGCAAGCAGGCGAGUAUUUAUAAAUAUUUAUUUUUGUGCAUUUAUCUUGAUAAACUUUAACAAGUAUUUACGGAUGAAAUUUUUUUAGGAAUUUUUAAAAUACAAAUAUUCACAUUUUAGGAUUAUGUGUAUUGCAUGUGAAUGAAACUAGUAAAUGCAAUCAGGAAUUAGGAUAAAUAUCUUUCAAAAUGGAAGAAUUGCUUGCAUGUGAAUGAAACUAGUAAAUGCAA
rnacentral:misc_RNA from 1 species